rnacentral:rRNA from 1 species
UUGGAGGGCAAGUCUGGUGCCAGCAGCCGCGGUAAUUCCAGCUCCAAUAGCGUAUAUUAAAGUUGUUGCAGUUAAAAAGCUCGUAGUUGAAUUUCGGGGUUAGUAGGCUGGUCAUGCCUCCGGUAUGUACUGGUCUCACUGAUUCCUCCUUCCUGAUGAACCGUAAUGCCAUUAAUUUGGUGUUGCGGGGAAUUUGGACCGUUACUUUGAAAAAAUUAGAGUGUUUAAAGCAAGCUAACGCUUGAAUACAUUAGCAUGGAAUAAUGAAAUAGGACGUUCGAUCCUAUUUUGUUGGUUUCUAGGAUUGACGUAAUGAUUAAUAGGGAUAGUUGGGGGCAUUAGUAUUCAAUUGUCAGAGGUGAAAUUCUUGGAUUUAUUGAAGACUAACUACUGCGAAAGCAUUUGCCAAGGAUGUUUUCAUUAAUCAAGAACGAAAGUUAGGGGAUCGAAGACGAUCAGAUACCGUCGUAGUCUUAACCAUAAACUAUGCCGACUAGGGAUCGGAUGAUGUUAAUUUUUUAAUGACUCAUUCGGCGCCUUACGGGAAAC